AUGCGGCCGGCCCAUGCGCCGGCGUCGGCGGCGCGCGGAGGCCGGGCGCUGUACGAGCUGUACAGGGCGGCGAGCCGCGCGGCGGCGCCGGCGGUGCUCCUGUGGCGGCGGCUGCGAGGGCUGGAGCACCGGUCACGUUGGCCAGAGCGGCUGGGCCGGCCGUCGGUCGCGCGGCCUCGGCCAGGCUCGCCGCUCGUGUGGUUCCACGCCGUCUCCCUCGGCGAGGGAAUGGCCGCGCUCCCGGUCGUCCGUCACUGCGCGCGCCUCCAUCCCGGCCUCCCUAUCCUCCUCACCACCACCACUCUCUCCGCCUUCGAAGUGAUAAAGGAUUUGCUACCGGAUGUUGUCAUAUAUCAGUUUGCACCUCUUGACUGUCCUGACGCAAUAGAAAGUUUCAUUGGAUACUGGAAGCCAAGUUUGAUACUUCUCAUGGAAAGUGAAUUGUGGCCAAACCUCAUCAUGUCUGCAGCAGAGAAAGGGAUUGCAGUGGCUCUUUUAAAUGCCCGCAUGUCACUGAAGUCGUUCAACCGUUGGUCUGUGCCUCUAGGGUUACCAUUAGUCUCUCUGAUGCUCUCUAAACUAUCACUUGUUAUCCCACUGAGUACCAUCCAGGCUGUUCGUUUUCAGUUGCUCCAUACACCACCGUACAAAAUCCAUUUCGCUGGCGAUUUAAAAUAUGCUGUCGGUGAUGUUGAGGUUCGGGAGAAAGAGUUGAAUACAAUCAAAGAUCUGCAGCGGCAGUUCAAUGAUAGGCCCAUCUGGAUGGCAGCUUCAAUUCACAGAGGUGAAGAGGAAGUCCUUCUCCGCGUUCAUGACGAGUUAAUCAAGGCGUAUGCUUCGCUACUUUUAAUUCUCGUGCCAAGACAUCCUCAGGACAUCAAGAAUGUUUCUUUGGCACUGAAAAAACAAAAGGUCAAUUUUGUGCUGAGGUCAACAAUGGAAUUGGUGUCUAUAAACACUAGGGUAUACGUGGUUGAUACUCUAGGGGAAUUAAGAAUGCUCUACAGGGUCACUCCAAUAGCAGUUGUGGGAGGCUCAUUUUUACCUAGCUUGUCUGGCCAUAAUUUUUCCGAGGCUGCUGCAGCUGGUUGUGCUGUUCUAACUGGUCCCCAUGUUGGACAUUUCUAUCAUAUGCUGGUUGAAAUGUGGCAAAUAAAUCCUCUAGCUGUCAAGCAGUUGACAGGAGAAGCUGAACUGCUGGAGGUGCUAAAAGAACUGCUUAGCGAUUCCAAAGCUCUAGAAGCACGUCAAGGAGCUGCAAAAGAUGCAUUUUCCAUCAUGUCGCAUGGAGUUGUGAACCGUGUAUGGAAUCUGGUCUCCAGGUUCGCCAUGGACGCCCAACAGAAACGUGGAAUAGUUGAUUAA
rnacentral:rRNA from 1 species